UUAUCACACCUAGCUUUUGAUUUAAAGUCAGAGAUGUAUAGCUCUUCCUUUCACUUGAACACAUAUUGGCCAUUAUAGGGUCAAUAACUGGCCUGAUUUCAAUAUUGUGUCAACAGAGGCUGAGGGGAGGGAAAGA